rnacentral:rRNA from 1 species
UUCCGUAGGUGAACCUGCGGCAGGAUCAUUAAAAAACGAGCCUAAACGCUCAAAAACACCGCGAACACACCUCUGUUGCCUCGGUGGUGACGGUCCGGGGAAGUCCCGGACUUCAGCCGCCGGCGGCCCGAAAACUACUAUUUGAUGGCACUCUGAGGCACUCUAAACGAGUAAAAACUUUCAGCAACGGAUCUCUUGGUUCUGGCAUCGAUGAAGAACGCAGCGAAAUGCGAUAAGUAAUGUGAAUUGCAGAAUUCAGUGAAUCAUCGAAUCUUUGAACGCACAUUGCGCCCGCCGGCAUUCCGGCGGGCAUGCCUGUUCGAGCGUCAUUUCAACCCUCAGGCUCCGCCUGGUGUUGGGGCCUUUUCGCAUGAAAGCCCCGAAAAGCAGUGGCGGGCUCGCAGCGGACCCGGGCGUAGUAGCACACCUCGCUCAGGGCCCCGCCGCGGGCGCCGGCCGUGAAACCUCUUUUUACCCAAGGUUGACCUCGGAUCAGGUAGGAAUACCCCGCUGAACUUAAGCAUAUCAAUAAGCGGAGGA